rnacentral:rRNA from 1 species
CGCAUCUGUGCAUGCAGCAUAUCAAUAAGCGGAGGAAAAGAAACUAACAAGGAUUCCCCUAGUAACGGCGAGUGAAGCGGGAAGAGCUCAAAUUUGAAAUCUUAAAGGGUUUCCCUUUACGAAUUGUAGUUUAAAGAAGUGUUUUCUGUUGAGGUUUUGGUAAAAGUUCUUUGGAAUAGGACAUCAUAGAGGGUGAGAAUCCCGUAUUUGACCUUUACUUUCAACUUUGUGAUACACUUUCAAAGAGUCGGAUUGUUUGGGAAUGCAGUCCAAAAUGGGUGGUAAAUUUCAUCUAAAGCUAAAUAUUGGCGAGAGACCGAUAGCGAACAAGUACCGUGAGGGAAAGAUGAAAAGAACUUUGAAAAGAGAGUUAAACAGUACGUGAAAUUGUCAAAAGGGAAGCGUUUGACACCAGUGUUGUUUUUCUGAAAAUCAAUUAAAGAACUGUUUAUGCUAAGCUGUUUAGACUUUAUCAGCUAUCUGUUUAGUUUUGAGCUUUUCUUUAAUGCACUUUUCAGUUAACAAGUCAACAUCAAUUUCUUUUGCUGUAAAAAAGCUUGAGGAAGGUGGCUUGAGAUUCGUCUUAAGUGUUUAUAGCCUCUUGCCUAUGCAGUCGGAGAGAUUGAGGUCUGCAGCGUAGAUCCUUCGGGGCUAAAUGCAUUUGUGCUAAGUUAUAGCAUUUUAUAGACAACUUGUUGACUAUGAUUUGUCUUGUAGCUUACUCGCUUAUGUUAUUUUACCUACGCUUAGGAUGUUGAACGCGCACAGAGUCUC